rnacentral:lncRNA from 1 species
GAGCCAGCACCCACUGCUGUGGACCCUCACCACCUGUGCUUUCUCCUCCAGGAACUUCCGCAAACACCUGCGCAUGGUUGGCAGUCGGCGGGUGAAGGCCCAGAGUAAGAGGGGUCCAGGGAGGGGCGUCGCUGCGCUUGGCAGUCUGGGGCUUCUUGGCAAGCUGGCUUUGCAUGCUGGCAGUGCGCCUCCAUCAGCCUGUUCCGGCCCCACAUACACACACAAGCACCGCCACCGCCCAUUGGCCUGUUCUGCCUUCCCCUCAGCUCUUGCCCCUUCUCUGUUGUUCUGCUCCUGUCCAUCUCUGUCUCAGUGUUCUGUCUUGUCCCCAGCAGUGUUCUGCCUCACCUAGGCCCUACUUGACCAGCCCCCUAACCUACUGUUCUGCCUGGCUUAGGCCCUGCCCUGAGCCCACAGUAGUCCACACUGUGCCCCUUUGCCUCCACCCUCACGUCCUCCAAGUCCAGACUCUGCUCCUAGUAUGCUGUGCCUCUAUUCAAGUCUCACCGUUGGUCUUAGUCCACUCUCUGUGACCUCAGGCCCGGUCCUUGUCAGCUUCUGCCUCUCCGCACACCCCAGCCCCCAUCCCAGGGCCUGAGUCUGCUCUGUUCUUGCCCUC